rnacentral:lncRNA from 1 species
UUCAGUCCUCAUCAUGCAUGCAUGCAUGCUCUGGCAGUAUAAACUCUGGUUAUGUGUUACUUCAGAAAAAGUAUGCAGAGAAGGACUGGGAAAUUCGUAGCAAUUGUAGAAAAAACAGCUAUACACAUCAGAAGCAUUCAGUAUAUGUACAUAGAGAUACAGUGAAAUCUCUAGCCCUACACAUCAGAAGUUGGAAGCUAGACCUCCAUUCUCCAAGGCUUAGGCCCCAACGGAAUAGAUUCCACAUUACAUGUGUAUAUACAUACAGAUUCAGUGACAUUUCUAACCGUACACAUUGGAACUUGGAAUCUGGAUCUCCAUGGCUUUUACUAGAUGCCAAGUGAUCGAUCUACAAUACAUGUUACACAGGGCCAUUGCCUUGUCCUACGCACCGGACUCUAAGAAAGUAGUACUAUGUAUACAAAGAGAUUCAGUGACACUUCCAACCCUACAUUUUGGAACUCCGAAGCUGAGAUCUCCAAGGCUUAGGGUAGGUGACAACGGAUCUAUCCACAGGCCACAAUACAUGCAUGUUGCUCCCUCCGUUUCUAAAUAUAAGUCUUUUUAAACAUUUCAAAUGAAUUAUAACAUACGGAUGUAUGUAGAUAUAUUUAGAGUGUAGAUUCACUCAUUUUGCUUCGCAU